rnacentral:tRNA from 1 species
GCAGUAGGGGUUCAGUGGUAGAAUUCUCACCUUCCGUGCGAGUAAUCCAGGUUUAGUUCCUGGCCAGUGCA